UCUACACUACACACCUAACAUAGCCAUCACCAAAUCUUUGGACUAGAUAAACAAAUCUUCACAACCAUAAGAUCACUCAAACUUUCUUAUACUCAUAGGAAACAGCGUUUGCUAUAACAUACAACAAAAUAAGGAAGAGGUAACUGAAUGUGAAGUUUUUUGUCCCAUUUCGACUAAGCUUCUUUGUCGCAGCCAGGCCCAUCCGAAUUAUAGUAAUUAGCAAUCCGAUGACAACUAUUACGAGAUCAGUUAUGACAAAACCUAUCUUAGUUUCACAUUUUACAGCAUACGCAAUCAAUGCAAUAGAUGCUCCAAUUGUAAAAAUUCCAAUCGUCUUAUUAUAAUCUCGAUCAGUUUUUAAAUCAUCAUCUAAGUUGUAGCACGAGCUCGUGCUGCAGCAUCUCCACCAUCAGCUUCAGCACAACCGUUUCAAGCAUAUCAAGUGUUCUGUGUGGAGCGGUGCUCAGAGAAGUUACAGAAGAAAAUAGAUACUAUCUUGGUAUACAAUUUGGUAGAUCAAAACAUGCUUAAUGAUAUAUGUUAUAAUGUUGCUAUUAUAUUUUGUCAGAUUAAAUGUUAGAAUGUACCAGCGAAAACCCCAUAGAGGUCCAUAAAGAUGUGUUGAACAACGAACGGAAGCUACGUAGGAGGGAGAGAUUUAAGUUCCACAGGAACUUUGGGUACAAGGACAUUCACUGCAUGAAGAGCCUUCUGUAAAAUUUUAUUAUUUACUUCUUCAAGAAAAUGGCCAUGGAAGAAUUCACUGAUUAUAAGAUGGGUGGACUAACCUCCCCUCUAAAUACUCCUUUUUUUUAGAUAUUGACUAGAUAACUAUCCAGCUUAAGGGUUCCGAGCUGGUGGCAGAGUUCCAUUACAUCCAUCAGAAGGUUGGUGUUUCUGCUUUUGUCAUCCGACCGACCUCGAUGAAACCUUAAAAAGUUUCCAUUAUGAUCUUUUGCCACUGCAAAAUAUCUUCUUGUUGCUUUAUCUGCAUCCGAUCUCGAUAAAAAGUUAACUUUUAGGGUCGAUCAUUUUAACAACCGAUUGGCCAAUGUUGAGGAGCCGGCGGGCGACGGAGCCUAAGGAGGUUCUUGUGAAUAAAUGGCCUGGCAUCGCUCUAUCGCAGAGAGGAUUCGUGGUGGUGUCCGGUUGAAGAGUCGGAGGCGCAAACGAACAAAUACUCGCCGCGGAGACGGGGUUCGACGGUGGUGGGGGCGGAUGGUAAGAGGGACAACGGUGGUGUUGGGAUGGUUGGACGCGCCCCUGUCAAAGCAGCACUCCCGUCGUCACUGCUGUUCGAACACUGGUGACGGUGGCAAACCUCAAGCCAAACCCUAGCUGCUGAACUUAGUUUUCUUAUUGAGUUUAAAUUGUUAUUGCGUUUUCGAAGCCCAAACCAAUCAGGUAUAAGUUUUUCAACUUAACAGGUUUGACCCGCAUUAAUUUGAAACUCGAAAUUCAUUUAGUGCUAGAUUUCAAGUUAAACAGAUUUGACCUGAUAUAACUUUAAACUGGAAACCCGAAUCAUAUUAUGAAUAGGAUAUUUGAUAUCGGGUAUGACCCUAACCCAAGUUCAAAACAAACUUAAUUUCGCAAAACGGGUCUGACUUGAGAACAAAACGCGUACCCGAACUUUGUUAGUUUUUAAUUUUAUUGUAAAAUUAUUGAAACCCCUGAUCGACCCAAAAAAAUUUCUAACCUCCAUCGGGUUCUCAAACAUGAUGUAAAUUUAGUUAUGGCCCCCUGAUUGAUCCAAAAAUUAUUGUGCAGCUCACCAGUUUAUUAAUUUGCUAUAAAAAUUAUUUUAGCUCCCUGAUUCAUGCUGAAAUUGUUUUAGAGCCCAUCUGAGUAUUAAGGCUAAUUUUUUAUUAGUCCCUAACUGUAGCGCAAAUUGUUUUAAUGUCCAUAUACAUGUAUAAUUUAGUUUCUUUUAUUGAUAAGAUUAUUCAACUCUUAUUGAAUUGUUAGGAUUGAUAUUGUAUCAUGUAUAUUUCUGAAAUACUCGUGACAUGAAUGUGUUGAUUUUAAAUUGUUUAAAUUUAACAAUUCAUGUGAUUAAAGUAAUUGCAUGGAAAAUUACUGUUCGGUCCAGAAUAUGUUCUAAAUUUUUUAUUAAAUAUAAACAAUUUAAAACUUGUUAGAAAUUGACUGCUUAUUGAAAUUUUCUAUAUAAAUGAAAACUGCUGGACAAUCUUUAUUCUCAUUUCUCACAAUCUUUCUUUAGAUUUUACAGGCACCUGGCUUGAGUUUUUUGGGCACUGGCUACUUAAUGCAGCUCCAUCCUUCUUUGUCCAGGCUUAGGGCAAGCCUUGCAAGGACUAAUGUUUUAAGCAUGACAUUUGCAGAGUCUAGUCUCAACUGUUUAUUUUGCAAUAUGCUAUUUAGAAAUGAAGAUUCUAGCCUUUGCAGUGAUUUAAAUGUGAAAGUAUUUAAAGGCCAAGAGGGUAGAUAGACAUGCUGUCAUAACCAGGAUGCGACAUGCGGCUACCCACGAAUUCUGACAUGUAGCAAUCAGACAGUGAAAACAUGACCCUGAGUGUAGGGUUUAUACAUUUGACAUAGACAUGACUUGACAAUAGUGUUACCACUAGUGUGAUUAUAUAUUGGAUUUGAGUCCGCUUUCCAGUGGAAAAUUUUAGGCAUGAAGAAAGAUUUUUAGGUGAAUAACAAAGGGAUUAUUUGCGUUACUUUUGUAAUUAACAACAAAUAUAUAAAAUGCUUUCAGCAAAUAAAAAGCAAUUAGUUACAGGUGCGGGCAGAUUUGUUAGUAAUAGUAUGAACUGAACCUUUGAGAAUUAUCAGGCAUGCUUCUUGGAGUAUUUUCUACUUUAUUCUUUAUAUACUGUUAAAAGAGAGGUAUCAGUUUUUUUAAUUAUCUUCAGAAUAUGGAUUGCCCACACGAAGGUAGUCUCUAUUAUGAAGUUCUGUCUUUCUGAUAGAUAUUUUGAAGUACCAUUUAGCUUAAUUUCAGUUUGACCACUACGGAUUUAGAGGACCACCUGAGCUUUGCCAGUUUCCGCUUCCUCUUUUAGGCAGAGUAGGGUUGUAGUUCAUUUGUUGAAUCGUAAUUUGCGGAAACCUUGUUUCAAGUUCUCUCAGCCAACAGAUUACCCCGCAGAGAAAAAUUUAGUUGUAGGUCAUGCUACUACUUGCACAUGAACUGCUGGUUUUAGUAUGUUGUUGAGUAGAUUAUACUCUUAACAUUAAAAGAAAAUAGCGAAGCAGGGUUUGUACCUGACAAAGUCUUCCUUGCUGCUGACUUCAAUUUCUCCUUUUUUCGUGUACGUAUUUCUUCCUCGAUGACAUGCUGAAGAGUAUCCUGUUAACUGUUAUUAUUGGGAUUUUCCAGAGCCAUUCUAAAAUCUAAAGUCAACAUUUCUCUAAAUGGUGUAUAUGUUUCAGGUUGUAAAUACUUCAGAGAAAUCAAAGGCCAAAGGAGCAAGAAACGGUGAGCUUGUUGCUGCCAAGGCUCAACAGACAUCAUUUCAGCUAGUCGAUCAUGGCCAGCGCCUGCCUGCUACAUAACCUGACAUUGUGAAUACUUCUCAGGCUGGAAAUUUUCAAGUCCUCAACGGAGAGAAGAAUGACACCUCUACUAAUCUCAUAGAUGGACCACCUGUAACUAUGACUAGCAAAGUGGCAACAUCAGUUGAUAGCGUUCCAUCAGUUAACAAUUCAAUUCCACAUUUGAAGUUGAUGCCAACCAAUGCGAAACUCAAGCUAAUGGCGUAGGAGGCGAGAAGAAACCUCCAUUUGUCACAAGACAUAAACAACUCUUCUUUAAUUCCAUCCGGAAGCUAGCAGAAGAGAAAAGUGGUGUAUUGCAUCGUUAUUCUGAUCGUGAAGUGAGCUCUGCUACAUCAUCAUCUUCAUCCGAGCCACCAAUACCCAAUUCAGUGAUCAAAUCAGAUGAGCAGAUACUUGGAGUUUGUGCAGCUUCUGCCUGUGAGGAAAAGAACCUGAAACCUUAGUUGCUGAGAAUGACAAUGACAAUAUGCGCAAUGAAGAACCUGAAACCUUAGUUGUUUUGGAUGAGGAAGAAAAAACAUUUGUGGAUUCACUUGGAUGGAACGAAAAUGCUGGGGAGGAUGCCUUAACAGCUGAGGAGAUUGUCAAGAAGAGUCUCAGCAGGAUGGCAGUGAGUCUCGGCAGGAUGGCAGUGAGUCUCUUCAAGAUUGUAGUGAGUCUUGGCGGGAUGGCAAUCUGGAUUGAGUUUGUCCAUCUUGGCGCGAUGGCGGCAAGUUUUAAUUUUUUUUGUUAAUUGAUGGUGAUCGGGUUUGAAAGACAGAGAUCUGAUUGGAGCGAAGAGGAAUCAAAAGCCUAAGAUGUUUUCUCAAUGUGAAAGAUGGUGAGCUAUAAUUUUUUUCAGCCCUUUUGCUUCCUUCAAGAAUGUAAAAAAGAAUGCGUGGAAUGCAAAAUAAGAUGAUGGAUUGAUCGGAGUCAAGGAAGGUAGAUAUAAGUUUUCUAGAUAUCUGCACAGUAUUGGAAAUCUUAUUGCUUAAAUUUUCCUUUGAUGAAAAAAAAAUGGUAUCUUUUGUUUA